rnacentral:rRNA from 1 species
UACAGAGGGUGCGAGCGUUGUCCGGAAUCACUGGGCGUAAAGGGCGCGUAGGCGGCUCGAUAAGGUUGCGGUGAAAGCCCGGGGCUCAACCCCGGGUCGGCCGUGGCAACUGUCGAGCUCGAGCACUGUAGAGGCAGGUGGAAUUCCGGGUGUAGCGGUGGAAUGCGUAGAGAUCCGGAAGAACACCGGUGGCGAAGGCGGCCUGCUGGGCAGUGACUCUUGAGUGAGUCGAAAGCUGACGCUGAGGCGCGACAGCGUGGGGAGCAAACAGG